UCCUCCUUACAGAGGCAGUUUGUUCCGAGUGCUCCGCCUUGGCAAAGCCUAGCGCUGGCAACAGAACAUGAGGGUUGCGCUCGUUGCGGGACUUAACCCAACAUUUCACAACACGAGCUGACGACAGCCAUGCACCACCUGUGUAACAGCCUCGAAGGCGACUCCUUUUCGGGAGCUUCCAGCUACAUGUCAAGCCCUGGUAAGGUUCUUCGCGUUGCAUCGAAUUAAGCCACAUGCUCCACCGCUUGUGCGGGCCCCCGCCAAUUCCUUUGAGUUUCAACCUUGCGGCCGUAGUCCCCAGGCGGAUCACUUAAUGCGUUAGCUGCGGCACCGAAGGAAACCCCCCGACACCUAGUGAUCAUAGUUUAGGGCCAAGACUAC
rnacentral:misc_RNA from 1 species